UACGAAGGGGGCAAGCGUUGUUCGGAAUUAUUGGGCGUAAAGAGCUUGUAGGCGGUCUGUCGCGUCUGCUGUGAAAAUCCGGGGCUCAACCCCGGACUUGCAGUGGGUACGGGCAGACUAGAGUGUGGUAGGGGAGACUGGAAUUCCUGGUGUAGCGGUGAAAUGCGCAGAUAUCAGGAGGAACACCGGUGGCGAAGGCGGGUCUCUGGGCCGAUACUGACGCUGAGGAGCGAAAGCGUGGGGAGCGAACAGG
rnacentral:rRNA from 1 species